GACUUGAUGGUGUAGUGGUUAACACGCUUGUUUAAAUUACGUUGCAGACUAGACCAGUUCAGCGGGAGUCCCCGGUUCGAACCUGUGUCAAGUCA